rnacentral:tRNA from 3 species
GGGAGAUUAGCUCAGUGGUAGAGCGCGUCGUUCACAUCGACGAUGUCAGGGGUUCAAAUCCCUUAUCUCCCACCA